ACAUAGGACCACAGGGUGUGGAAAACAGGGCUUCCCGUCCGCUCAGCCGUACUUAAGCCACACGCCGGGAGGUUAGUAGUUGGGUGGGUGACCACCAGCGAAUCCCUUCUGUUGUAUGUU
rnacentral:rRNA from 1 species